rnacentral:rRNA from 1 species
GUGUCAGCAGCCGCGGUAAUACGUAGGGUGCGAGCGUUAAUCGGAAUUACUGGGCGUAAAGCGUGCGCAGGCGGCGCGUUAAGACAGGUGUGAAAGCCCCGAGCUUAACUUGGGAAUUGCGCUUGUGACUGGCGUGCUGGAGUGUGGCAGAGGGAGGUGGAAUUCCACGUGUAGCAGUGAAAUGCGUAGAGAUGUGGAGGAACACCGAUGGCGAAGGCAGCCUCCUGGGCCAGCACUGACGCUCAUGCACGAAAGCGUGGGGAGCAAACAGGAUUAGAAACCCCUGUAGUCC